GCCUUCGUGGUGUAGUGGUUAACACACUCGGCGCGUAUUCGAGAGGUCCAUGGUUCGAGUCCUGGCGAGGCCA
rnacentral:tRNA from 1 species